GGAGACAAAAAAGGUUCCAAACCUCUUUGAAGUUCAUCAUAUUUUAUUACAUGAUUCAAAUAUGUAUUAAAACAGUAUUUUCAUUUUUUUUAUUUUUUUUCAAAAUCUAUGUGUUAACCCUUACGAAAAUAGUGAGUUUUCGGUAAAUGCUCUAUAUAUGAAGCCUAUAAUCUUUAAAUUGGUUUUAAAAUUUAAAACCACAUUAUACCUUUAUAUUAAUGUAUGAUAAACUUCUUUUCAUGGUACAUGGACAUCGCUCUAAUUUUUUAUCCAUU
rnacentral:lncRNA from 1 species